UACGGAGGGAGCUAGCGUUGUUCGGAAUUACUGGGCGUAAAGAGCGCGUAGGCGGUUUAUCAAGUUGGGAGUGAAAUCCCAGGGCUUAACCCUGGAACUGCUUUCAAAACUGGUAAACUAGAGUUUGGUAGAGGAUGGUGGAAUUCCUAGUGUAGAGGUGAAAUUCGUAGAUAUUAGGAGGAACACCGGUGGCGAAGGCGGCCAUCUGGGCCAAUACUGACGCUGAGGCGCGAAAGCGUGGGGAGCAAACAGG
rnacentral:rRNA from 1 species